CAUCGUUGCCCCCGUGCCUUGCCCACAUGCUAGGCACCAAGCGGGGCGAAUGUUGGCUUCCCGUGAGCAAUGUCUCACGGUUGGUUGAAAACUGAGUCCGCGGUGGAGGGCGCCGUGAUGGAUGGUGGCUGAGUUAAAGCUCGAGAUCGAUCGUGCGAGUCACCCCCACCAGCUUUGUGACUCUUUGACCCAUGGGGUCUGUUGGCCUCCUAAUACGGGA
rnacentral:rRNA from 1 species